UGGGGAAUUUUGGACAAUGGGGGAAACCCUGAUCCAGCCAUCCCGCGUGUGCGAUGAAGGCCUUCGGGUUGUAAAGCACUUUUGGCAGGAAAGAAACGUCAUGGGUUAAUACCCCGUGAAACUGACGGUACCUGCAGAAUAAGCACCGGCUAACUACGUGCCAGCAGCCGCGGUAAUACGUAGGGUGCAAGCGUUAAUCGGAAUUACUGGGCGUAAAGCGUGCGCAGGCGGUUCGGAAAGAAAGAUGUGAAAUCCCAGAGCUCAACUUUGGAACUGCAUUUUUAACUACCGGGCUAGGGUGUGUCAGAGGGAGGUGGAAUUCCGCGUGUAGCAGUGAAAUGCGUAGUUAUGCGGAGGAACACCGAUGGCGAAGGCAGCCUCCUGGAAUAACACUGACGCUCAUGCACGAAAGCGUGGGGAGCAAACAGG
rnacentral:rRNA from 1 species